rnacentral:rRNA from 1 species
CCUACGGGUGGCAGCAGUGGGGAAUAUUGGGCAAUGGAGGCAACUCUUACCCAGCAAUGCCGCGUGAAUGAAGAAGGUCUUCGGAUUGUAAAGUUCUUUUAUUGGGGACGUAAAAUAUGACGGUACCCAAGGAAUAAGCCUCGGCUAACUACGUGCCAGCAGCCGCGGUAAUACGGAGGGGGCAAGCGUUGUUCGGAAUGACUGGUCGUAAAGGGUGUGUAGGCGGGGUAGCAAGUUAGAAGUGAAAUACCUAGAGCUUAACUCAAGUGCUGCUUCUAAAACUGCUAUACUUGAGUGCAGUAGAGGAAAGUGGAAUUCCUAGUGUAGCGGUGGAAUGCUUAGAUAUUAGGAGGAACAACAGUUGCGAAGGCGACUUUCUAGACUGUAACUGACGCUGAGGCACGAAAGUGUGGGGAGCAAACAGGAUUAGAUACCCGUGUAGUC